UUGAGUCGGUGGACUGGGAGAGGCAGACCCAUCCUCAAACUGGCUGGGUACUACGUAAAUUGCUGCCAGCUUGGCUAGAAUAAAGCAAGCAGAAGUUGUGAAGACUUGGCUUGCUGAGUCUUCUGGCCUUCAUCUUCUGUGCUGGAUGCUUCCUGCCUUCAAACAUCAGACUCCAAGUUCUUCAGCUCUUGGACUCUUGGACUUACAUCAGUGAUUUGCCAGGGGCUCUUGGGCCUUUGGCUAUAGACUGAAGGCUGCACUGUUGGCUUCCCUACUUUUGAGGUUUUCGGACUCAGACUGGCUUCCUUGCUCCUCAGCUUGCAGACAGCCUAUCGUGGCCUGUUGUGUCCAUCACACCUUGUGAUCACGAAAGUUCCAAAUAUUUCUAUGAGAACAAAGGAGAGAAUCAGAGAUUUCCCUGGCCUGAAACAUAUCAGGCUCUCCUGUAAACAAAUGGAUGUCAUUAAACCCUGAGAUGGGAAGGGAUGCUAUUGGCAGCAGCAAAAGGAACUCUUCUUCAUUGAGUAUAGUGUUCAGUGUGCUACACAGAGAAACAGACCUAAAGGAAGAGCCUGGUGGAGACAUAGCUGGACUGAGGUGAACAAGGUACACCAAAAAAUUGCUAUGCACAUCAAGCUACUACUGUUGACUUUCUUCACAGAAUUAGAAAAAAAUGACUUUAAAUUUCAUAUGGAACCAAAAAGGGCACAUACAGCUAAGACAAUCCUAAGCAAAAAGAACAAAGCUGGAAGCAUCAUGCUACCUGAGUUCAAACUAUACUACAAGGCUACAGUAACCAAAACAGCAUGGUACUGGUACCAAAACAGAUAUAUAGACCAAUGGAACAGAACCGAGGCCUCAGAAAUAAUGCCACACAUCUACAACCAUCUGAUCUUUGACAAACCUGACAAAAGCAAGCAAUGGGGAAAGGAUUCCCUAUUUAAUAAAUGGUGAUGGGCAAACUGGCUAGCCAUAUGCAGAAAACUGAAACUGGACCCCUUCCUUACAACUUAUACAAAAAUUAACUCAAGAUGGAUUAAAGACUUAAACGUAAGACCUAAAACCAUAAAAACCCUAGAAGAAAACCUAGGCAACACUAUUCAGGACAUAGGCAUGAGCAAAGACUUCAUGACUAAAACACCAAAAGCAAUGGCAACAGAAGCCAAAAUUGACAAAUGGGAUCUAAUUAAACUAAAGAGCUUCUGCACAGCAAAAGAAACUAUCAUCAGAGUGAACAGGCAACCUACAGAAUGGGAGAAAACUUUUGCAGUCUAUCCAUCUGACAAAGGGCUAAUAUCAAGAAUCUACAAGAAAUGUAAACAAAUUAACAAGAAAAAAACAAACAACCCCACCAAAAGGUGGGCAAAGGAUAUGAAUAGACACUUGCCAAAAGAAUACAUUUAUGUGGCCAACAAACACAUGGAAAAAAGCUCAUCAUCACUGGUCA
rnacentral:lncRNA from 10 species